AUUGAACGCUGGCGGCAUGCCUUACACAUGCAAGUCGAACGGCAGCAUGGGUGCUUGCACCUGAUGGCGAGUGGCGAACGGGUGAGUAAUGCAUCGGAACGUACCCGGAAGUGGGGGAUAACGUAGCGAAAGUUACGCUAAUACCGCAUAUUCUGUGAGCAGGAAAGCGGGGGAUCGCAAGACCUCGCGCUUCCGGAGCGGCCGAUGUCGGAUUAGCUAGUUGGCGGGUAAAGGCCCACCAAGGCAACGAUCCGUAGCGGGUCUGAGAGGAUGACCAGCCACACUGGGACUGAGACACGGCCCAGACUCCUACGGAGGCAGCAGUGGGGAAUAUUGGACAAUGGGCGCAAGCCUGAUCCAGCAAUGCCGCGUGUGUGAAGAAGGCCUGCGGGUUGUAAAGCACUUUCAGUGGGGAAGAACGGGCCAAGGUUAAUAACCCCUGGCUUCUGACGUUACCCACAGAAGAAGCACCGGCUAACUCCGUGCCC
rnacentral:rRNA from 1 species